AUUGAACGCUGGCGGAAUGCUUUACACAUGCAAGUCGAGCGGCAGCACGGGGGCAACCCUGGUGGCGAGCGGCGAACGGGUGAGUAAUACAUCGGAACAUGCCCAGUCGUGGGGGAUAACACUUCGAAAGAAGUGCUAAUACCGCAUACGUCCUGAGGGGGAAAGCGGGGGAUCGCAAGACCUCGCGCGAUUGGAGUGGCCGAUGUCAGAUUAGCUAGUUGGUGGGGUAAAGGCCUACCAAGGCAACGAUCUGUAGCUGGUCUGAGAGGAUGAUCAGCCACACUGGGACUGAGACACGGCCCAGACUCCUACGGGAGGCAGCAGUGGGGAAUUUUGGACAAUGGGGGCAACCCUGAUCCAGCCAUUCCGCGUGAGUGAAGAAGGCUUUCGGGUUGUAAAGCUCUUUCGGCAGGAACGAAACGGUGAGCUCUAACAUAGCUUGCUAAUGACGGUACCUGAAGAAGAAGCACCGGCUAACUACGUG
rnacentral:rRNA from 1 species